AAAUGAUUUGAUUAUGUAAACCGACUUGAUUUCACCAAUAAAUUGUGGCUUUCAUUGUUUUCCAUUGCCUGUUUUCAACCUUACCUGAAGCCCACUGUUGAAUCUGCCUGAAUUUUCAUCUUUUGAAGCAGGAAGUUGAUGAGACCUAUGCUUCUCAAAAUUUAAUGUGCAGAUGUAAACAACUGGAGGAUGUUGGUAAAAAAUUAGAUUCUGACUCAGUAGCUCUGGUGUGGGCCUUUGAGUGUCUGCAUGUCUGACAUGCCAAUGCUGGUGGUCAGAGGACUGCACUCUGCAUCACAGGCAGAGUGAAGUAACCACGGCUUGACCCAUCAAGUAUAACAAUUGUGUAUAUUCCGAAGAUAUUCUGAGAGUGUCAUUGAAAUUCUACACUCUUAUGUUCUGAAAGUUGCCAUAUUUCUACUCAGGAACUGCUUGUGGGUGAGUGGGCCUGGAUCAUUCAGCAUGUAGUCCUUAUCUCGAAUUCACAAAAUCAGACCACACCUUUGAAGGGCCACAUCCAAACCAAAAACUUCUCAUGAAAUAGAACGAUAGUGACUACACUUUUAAAAGGUCAAGAGAUUUGCCUUGGGUUUCUACAGCCGAAGAGUUUCAUCACUUUUUCUGUGGAGUGCUGAGCUGCCAGGACUUUGAAAUGAAAUAUAUCUACUGUGGCAAAGAUUUCUCUCAAGCAUUGCGGUUAUUCACAGGAUUCUACUCUUCAGAGCACUGUUGCCAUCUUCAGCCUCCCCUGACAAUUGGAUUUGCCCCAAAGGAACGACCCAUUAUUUUAAGUCAUUUGUCAGCCCUUUGACAUCAGGGUGGCUUUGGAACUCCUCAAUAUGAAUAUGAACAUGACACACAAUAAAAUUUCCUGCCCACGGCA
rnacentral:lncRNA from 1 species